rnacentral:lncRNA from 1 species
GACAUCAGAAGGUUGCCUUGUUGCACGGAAGGCCUCAGUGUCAGAGCAGCUCUUGGGCUUGCUCAGUGCGGGAGCAUCCUCCUGCUUGAGGCGUUUGUCAGUGGGCAGCUGCACACUGACAGGAGCCUUGUUCUUCUUGUGUUGGAGCACAGUCUGCAAACUGCCACAGCAGUGCUCCAAUGAUGGAGCAAUUUGCUGCUGCAGUUUGCACUGUUUAUGGCAUUGUUUAUUCUGGCUAUUAUCUGGCAAACCUGGCAUGUCACCUGAGGCGUGUAUGCAGAACUGGCCAUUCAAAGAGCCCAGAAGCAAGAGCAGUUUC